CGGUUUUCGUCGUUGUCGCUCUCUGUCUUAUUACCACCCUCCGUUUGCUCAUAGUCGCUGGCGACAGAAGCAGUAGGUUCUAGGGCUGGUCGUCUUUGUUGUCUCCUUGCUCCGAGUCUCACCAUCAGCUUCCUUCACGCAACCAAAAGUUGGUCCCGAUUUGGAUUAUUAGUAUCAAUGAAAAACCAUCAAUUGUAUACUAACAAGGAUGAAGUUAAAAGAGUAUAAGAGGGUCGCAUUAUUAUUUCGGAUGCAAUAUUGGGCACUACUGGAAGAAAAGUUAAAGUUUUAGAAGUAUCAAAUAAUCACAGAGAAGAAGUUCAGAGACAGAUACGGUGUUUUGAUAAUUCUUUGAGACUCUCAUCCCAACAUUUUUUACAAGGGCUUGUUUAUUUUCGCGAGGGGGAGACAUGGGU